rnacentral:rRNA from 1 species
UAGGCGUAAAUGAUGCGAGUUAAGUGUGGGGGCAUCUACGAGAUGGCCCUGUGCUGUAGGGUAGCCGUUAAACUCGCUGCCUGGGGAGUACGGUCGCAAGGCUGAAACUUAAAGGAUUGGCGGGGGAGCACCACAACGGGUGGAGCUUGCGGUUUAAUUGGAUUCAACGCCGGAAAUCUUACCGGGGACGACAGCAAUAUGUAGGCCAGGCUGAAGACCUUGCCUGAAUCGCUGAGAGGAGGUGCAUGGCGUAGACGUCU